rnacentral:rRNA from 1 species
CAGGGAAUCUUGCGCAAUGGGCGAAAGCCUGACGCAGCGACGCCGCGUGGGGGAUGAAGGCCUUCGGGUUGUAAACCCCUUUCAGGAGGGAAGAAAUUGACGGUACCUCCAAAAGAAGGACCGGCCAACUACGUGCCAGCAGCCGCGGUAAUACGUAGGGUCCUAGCGUUGUCCGGACUUACUGGGCGUAAAGCGCACGCAGGUGGUAAGGCAAGUGGGGUGUGAAAGCCGCCAGCUUAACUGGCGGAGGCCAUCCCAAACUGCUUCACUUGAGGCCUGUAGAGGUAUGUGGAAUUGCCGGUGUAGUGGUGAAAUGCGUAGAGAUCGGCAGGAACACCCAGGGGGAAACCAGCAUACUGGACAGGUCCUGACACUCAGGUGCGACAGCGUGGGGAGCGAACCGGAUUAGAUACCCGUGUAGUCC